UACGUAGGGGGCAAGCGUUAUCCGGAAUUACUGGGUGUAAAGGGAGCGUAGACGGUGAUGCAAGUCUGGAGUGAAAGGCGGGGGCCCAACCCCCGGACUGCUCUGGAAACUGUAUGACUUGAGUGCAGGAGAGGUAAGCGGAAUUCCUAGUGUAGCGGUGAAAUGCGUAGAUAUUAGGAGGAACACCAGUGGCGAAGGCGGCUUACUGGACUGUAACUGACGUUGAGGCUCGAAAGCGUGGGGAGCAAACAGG
rnacentral:rRNA from 1 species